CUCGGCAGCUGCAACUCUCACAUGGUCACCCACUGAAGCUAAGCAGGGAUGCGCCAGGUCAGUACCUGGAUGGGAGACCAAAUGGGAAAGCUAGGUUGCUGCAGAAA
rnacentral:rRNA from 1 species